rnacentral:lncRNA from 1 species
UCGAGGUUGAGAAACUACUUUCCAAAGCUUUUUGUCUAUCCUUUGCCUGAUGGCUUUCCUCAAAUAAAGGUCUUUCUACUGGCUAGCCUUAGGAUUUUAUGGACAUUCAAAAAGAUAGGGAUUCAGAUGAAAUAGCAAAGAGAAUUCGAAGAGAGGAAUUGACUUGGGCUUACGACAUGGUUGUUUUCCCUUGGGGGCUAUAUCUUUCUUCCAUGGUAGGGCUCUAGGGGCAGGGCAUCUGUGAAUGAAUCCUUUGACUUUCCCUCCUACAAGGGGAAGGGACUACUCAUAUGGCUCACACGGGGACAAUAGAUAGAGGUUUUUUUUGAGAGCAAUAAACCUUGAACUCUUUAAGACCCUUAGAUGGAAUCACAAUCUCUGCUGUUCGCUAGGGGAAAAGCUAUCCAAGAGAGUUCUAUAAGUCCCGGUAUGCUACUUACGCUCGUUUAGUCCUUGUCCAUAAGAUUCAAAUAUAGCUGCUUUUUUCAAAGCAGGUCUUAGCACUGCACCUAGAUCCAAGGCUGCAACUCCAUCUGGUAAGGGGACUGCUGCAACGAGAACUUAAACUCAAAAUGAAUUUCAUCCCCCGAGAAUCUGCUAUCUCUAGCUUCCUUUCCUCCUUCUUCCUUUUCUGAUCCUGAUGGCUUGACAGAGUAAGGGACUAAUGAGACUGGGACUUAUAAUGGUAAUCUAGAAAGUGUUACCUCGGGGACUGCAUGCAACCUUUAACACUCAAACUGCAGGCUAGGCUUACCUUUUUUUAUUCUGCAACUGAAUUUGAUUGGGGACUGAGACUACUACAAGAGGGAAUGCCCCUACCAUGGCAAGAGAUAGCCCUAUAACCUGGUUUUCAGCAGAUCUAGAAUAUCCUGCCCCUCUUUCAACAAACUUGCUUGCUCACUUCCAAUCUAACGAGAAAGAAAAUCUCUAACUGGUCCUAGAGAAGAACCUGAAUGGCUUACAGGGCACUCUCCAUGGCUAGAAGAGGGAAUGACAAGAUUAGGAUGAAUGGAAGCUAGCCCUAAAAGUAUAUGGGUGGCAACUCACCCUCAUACUAGAUAUGAGUCAGCAAAGACAGGCCCUCGCUCGAUCUAUGAUAUCAGAGAAGAAUAUAGUUUAAGUUAUGGGGACUGCUACUGGCAUAUUACUCCCUUCAGUUAGUCUUCCCUGUUGGCUUGAAAAAUAAAUGUCUUGUUCACUCACUUGACCCUGUUUACUGCAUGAAAGAAAUCAUUA